CCUACGGGAGGCAGCAGUGAGGAAUAUUGGUCAAUGGUCGAGAGUCUGAACCAGCCACGCAGCGUGAGGGAUGAAUGCCCUAUGGGUUGUAAACUUCUUUUAUAUGGGAAUAAAAUGUUGCACGUGUGCGCUUUUGUAUGUACCAUAUGAAUAAGGAUCGGCUAACUCCGUGCCAGCAGCCGCGGUAAUACGGAGGAUCCGAGCGUUAUCCGGAUUUAUUGGGUUUAAAGGGAGCGUAGGUGGAUUGGUAAGUCAGGUGUGAAAGUCCGCGGCUCAACCGUAAAAUUGCAGUUGAAACUGGCAGGCUUGAGUACAGGAGAGGUAGGCGGAAGUCGUGGUGUAGCGGUGAAAUGCUUAGAUAUCACGAAGAACUCCGAUUGCGAAGGCAGCUUACUGGACUGCAACUGACACUGAGGCUCGAAAGUGUGGGUAUCAAACAGGAUUAGAUACCCUUGUAGUC
rnacentral:rRNA from 1 species